UAGCUCAGUCGGUAGAGCACGUGACUUUUAAUCACGGUGUCCAGGGUUCGAUUCCCUGG
rnacentral:tRNA from 1 species